GAUGAAGAACGUAGCGAAAUGCGAUAAGUAAUGCGAAUUGCAGAAUUUCCGUGAGUCAUCGAAUCUUUGAACGCACAUUGCGCCCCCUGGUAUUCCGGGGGGCAUGCCUGUCCGAGCGUCAUUACAACCCUCAAGCUCAGCUUGGUGUUGGGCCCCGCCGCCCCGGCGGGCCCUAAAGUCAGUGGCGGUGCCGUCCGGCUCCGAGCGUAGUAAUUCUUCUCGCUCUGGAGGUCCGGUCGUGUGCUUGCCAGCAACCCCCAAUUUUUUUCAGGUUGACCUCGGAUCAGGUAGGGAUACCCGCUGAACUUAAGCAUAUCAAUAAGCGGAGGA
rnacentral:misc_RNA from 1 species